rnacentral:pre_miRNA from 12 species
UGUACAUCACAGUAAUAUGCUCAAACAUUAGUGGUAGUUGUUUAUGCACCAUGAUUGAACAUUUGCCAUGAUAUCCC